UUCGCUUCACAUUUAAGGAGAGGCGAACCAAACUUUCACUGCUCAGGUGCUCAACGCCUUCGCUCAGCUGGCGAGAGCCGAGGAGGACGUUACUAAACUCACGUUGGCUCAUGAGUCGUCACUGGCUGAGUUGAACGAGGCCGUCACACACAGGGAGUGUCUGAGUGAGCAAGAGCAGAUCCUUCAGGGAAAGAUCUCCGUUCUGGAGGAUGAACUCCUGAAAGCUCAGUCUCCGGACAGAGGAGAGGUUUUGGGACCCAUCAUGGAGG